rnacentral:lncRNA from 10 species
CUCUCGCCUGCCUUCGGCCCUUAGGCUCCGGGAGAUUGCAAAUAACCUGCUUUCUUUCUGUUCCCAGGUGGCGUCGGACCCCUGUCAGAGAGUAAAUCUCAAGUAAGGUACCUGCCAUCGGCAGAUUUGAGCUUUCUUCUUGGACACCUAAUACCCACAGUCCUCCAGGCUCCGGUAGACUGCAAAUGACCUGCUUUCUUUCUGUUCCCGGGCUGCGUUUGGACCCCUGUCGGAUAGUAAAUCCCAAGCUCCGGUAGACUGCAAAUGACCUGCUUUCUUUCUGUUCCCGGGCUGCGUUUGGACCCCUGUCGGACAGUAAAUCCCAAGAAUGGAACAGAUAAGAAGAUACUGAAAUUGGACGGUGCUGCCGUGCGGCUGCCGCAGGACACCUUUAAUAUCCCUGUUUCUCAGGCUGUAGAUGAAGGGGUUCAGCAUGGAGGUGAUCACCGUGUACAUCACUGAGGCCACUGCAGCCUUUCUCGGGGAAGAUGACACAUCUGAACUGAGGUACCCUCCAAAGCCUGUUCCGUAAAAUCAGCAAACAACUGACAGGAUAACUUCAGGAAGUGGGUAUUAAUUCUCACGGUAUAAGUGAAGACAUUAAGCACCAGAGUUUAAGUAGCUUGAUCCACUGAAAGAGAUUCAACUGUGUGGAACCUAUGCCGUGGAGAAUUGCUUUCUGCCAUUGUUAUCGUCCAGCAGUUGCCGAAUAGCUCUGACCUGAGCAAAGCAGUGAAACGCGGUGCUGUUGAGUGGGUUGCCACUGCACCUUUUUCAACUACUCUAGUCUUGUGGAGAAAAUACCCCUUCUAAAUUUUUUCUUCAUUGAAUACUCUCCCUCAGCUCCAGAGUACCAUAUAGAGUUUUCUUGUAUUUUAGAGUUACUGUUUUAUCAAAGUUUACCAGUCUUUUGUAUUACAUUUCUCCUGUCUAAA